rnacentral:rRNA from 1 species
AGGAGUUUGAUCCUGGCUCAGAGCGAACGCUGGCGGCGUGCUUAACACAUGCAAGUCGAGUGCGCGUACCGUAGCAAUACGGUAUGACGCACGGCGCACGGGUGCGUAACACGUGGGUAAUCUGCCCUUCGAUGGGGAAUAACUCCGGGAAACCGAAGCUAAUUCCGCAUAACAUUCCUUGAACUUCGGUUUGAGGACUCAAAGCCGUAAGGCGUCGGAGGAGGAACCCGCGCACGAUUAGCUAGUUGGUAGGGUAACGGCCUACCAAGGCUUUGAUCGUUAGCUGGUCUGAGAGGAUGGCCAGCCACACUGGAACUGAGACACGGUCCAGACUCCUACGGGAGGCAGCAGUGGGGAAUCUUGCACAAUGGGCGAAAGCCUGAUGCAGCGACGCCGCGUGGGGGAUGAAGCUUUUCGGAGUGUAAACCCCUUUCGACCCGGACGAAUGCCCCGCAAGGGGACUGACGGUACGGGUAUAAGAAGCCCCGGCUAACUACGUGCCAGCAGCCGCGGUAAGACGUGGGGGGCCAGCGUUGCUCGGAAUUACUGGGUGUAAAGGGUUCGUAGGCGGUGUAGCAAGUCGGGAGUGAAAUCUCUGGGCUCAACCCAGAGACUGCUUCCGAAACUGCUGUGCUUGAGUGUGGGAGAGGCGCGUGGAAUUGCAGGUGUAGCGGGAAAUGCGUAAUAUCUGCAGGAACACCCGUGGCGAAAGCGGCGCGCUGGACCA